rnacentral:tRNA from 1 species
GCCAAUUUGGCAGAAAAGUGUUUUAAAUUUAGAAUUUAAAAAUGUAUAACAAUAUACAUUUGGUA